CUCCCGGAUGUUAGCGGCGGACGGGUGAGUAACACGUGGGUAACCUGCCUGUAAGACUGGGAUAACUCCGGGAAACCGGAGCUAAUACCGGAUAGUUCCUUGAACCGCAUGGUUCAAGGAUGAAAGACGGUUUCGGCUGUCACUUACAGAUGGACCCGCGGCGCAUUAGCUAGUUGGUGGGGUAAUGGCUCACCAAGGCAACGAUGCGUAGCCGACCUGAGAGGGUGAUCGGCCACACUGGGACUGAGACACGGCCCAGACUCCUACGGGAGGCAGCAGUAGGGAAUCUUCCGCAAUGGACGAAAGUCUGACGGAGCAACGCCGCGUGAGUGAUGAAGGUUUUCGGAUCGUAAAGCUCUGUUGUUAGGGAAGAACAAGUGCGAGAGUAACUGCUCGCACCUUGACGGUACCUAACCAGAAAGCCACGGCUAACUACGUGCCAGCAGCCGCGGUAAUACGUAGGUGGCAAGCGUUGUCCGGAAUUAUUGGGCGUAAAGGGCUCGCAGGCGGUUUCUUAAGUCUGAUGUGAAAGCCCCCGGCUCAACCGGGGAGGGUCAUUGGAAACUGGGAAACUUGAGUGCAGAAGAGGAGAGUGGAAUUCCACGUGUAGCGGUGAAAUGCGUAGAGAUGUGGAGGAACACCAGUGGCGAAGGCGACUCUCUGGUCUGUAACUGACGCUGAGGAGCGAAAGCGUGGGGAGCGAACAGGAUUAGAUACCCUGGUAGUCCACGCCGUAAACGAUGAGUGCUAAGUG
rnacentral:rRNA from 1 species